rnacentral:lncRNA from 1 species
GUUUUUACAGUCUCUCCCACAGAAUAUGGAAGUUCCCAAGCAGGGGUCAAAUCAGAAAAAAGAUGCCUUUAAGUCAACAUCAAUUAGGUCACCUUAGGCCACAUUUAAAUCACUUCAAAUAUUUGUAAGUAUAAUAUUUUUAAAUAUUUGUAAUAUCAUUUGUAAACAUUUGUAAUAUUAGUAAGUAUCUGGCCUUUAAAAAACAGUGUUAGAAUUGAAGAAAUAAAGAUAGGCAACAGAUAAACUGACAUGAGCAUUUGAAAACAAGACAAUAGAGAGGUGCAGGGAAAGACACAGAGACACAGAGAGGGGUCUUGGUUCAAAGGCACCAGGAAAAGCACUUGGGGAAGACAGUGCUUGAGUUGUGACAGAAAUAAAGUCACCAACAUAAGCAAGUAGAGGGAAAGCCUUCUAAAAGAAAGAGCAGGGAGUUCCCGUCGUGGCUCAGUGAUUAACGAAUCUAGGAACCAUAAGGUUCCUAGACUAGGAACCAUAAGGUUGCGGGUUCUAUCCCUGGCCUUGCUCAGUGGGUUAAGGAUCCGAUGUUGCUGUGAGCUGUGGUGUAGGUUGCAGACGUGGCUUGGAUCCUGCAUUGCUGUGGCUCUGGCAUAGGCUGGCGGCUAUACCUUCUAUUUGACCCCUAGCCUGGGAACCUCCAUAUGCUGCAAGAGUGGCCCAAGAAAUGGCAAAAAGACAAAAAACAAAAACAACAAAAAAAUAAAGAGCAGCCCAAUAAUUUGUCCAAACAAAGCUUGACAGAAGUUGGAGUAGAGUAGUAGAAACUGAAAUGCAAUGGACCUUUCUCUUGACUUUUGAGGAAUGUCAACAACAGACCUUACAGGAACUUAAUAUAAUCAGAUUUGAGAUUUAAGAAGAUCACACCAGCAGCUUUGUGGAAAGUAAAUUAGCAGUACAACCAGGAAGUAAUUGUGGUAAGGGCCCUCCCAGAACAAAGGGAAAGCCAUGUGGCAUAACCAGCAUCUGCAUACACAUGUGUAACUCUGCAGCAGCAAGACAUGAUCAAUAUCCAUGUGCAGCUCUGUAACAUAGACCAUCGAACCAGAAUUUACAGAAUGUAUGUUAUCUGAUAAGGGGGACAAAGGGACCAAAGUGUAAAACAAAAAAUAACGGAGGGUAUAUAAGACAGCACCCCACUGUUUUUGGGGCUCAGCCUUUGGAUAUGAAUCUGCUGAAGACAAUGCCGGCAUUCCCACUUCCUGAAAAUAAGCCUCAGUGUUCUGUCUCUCUGUACAAGAACUGUGCAACAUUAUUACAGUGACACAGGUAAAAAUAAUAAUACAAUAAUAGCUCCCAUUCUUUUAAAUAUGUAUUAUGCAAUAGACACCAUUAUCAAAGUUUUAUGUACACUGUAUUCUUUCAAGUCUUACAAUAAUCCUAGAAGGUAAGAAACAUUUGGUCCUUCUUUUAAAUAUGAGGAAACUGUGGCUCAGAGAAGUUAAAAUUAAUUUCCCCAAGACAAGAAAGCAGAGCUAGGACAUUAUUCAAAGACUAUCUAGAUUAACAAAUUGCAGUUUUAGUCAUGCUAAGGAACAAAGAGAAAAAUGAUCAUACAGUAUAGUAAUGACGGCAUUGGAAGUGGGGAUUGACAGAAGAACAUGGAUUUUAUAGGAUUUAGGAAGACAAACCAACAUGGGAGAUAGUGAGUAGUUGUCUAGAAGGCCUCUUAAAGCAGAUUCUAACACUGUGCCCAGGUUUCCAGUAUGAAUGACUAACAAGACAGGGAAAAGCAGACAUUUGAUCUGAUUCCUAAUUCUAGAGUAUAAAUCCUUGUAACAUAUAUGUGUGUGUAUCUUCUCUCCCUCCAUCAUAAGUUUCAUGAAUAUUGAGACCUGAUCCACAGUGUUCAUCACUUUGUUCCCAGAGCCUAGGAGAGUUCUUGGCAAACAGCAGACAUUGAUAAAUGCCUUAUGAAAGAGACUGGAUGUGGAAGCACUGAGGAAGUAACUUGAUAAGUCACAGCCUACCAUUUGUCUGUAUCCGUCUUCUCAAAAAUGAAGGUAAAUUGAUGAACCCUGGUUGCCACAGAAUAUUCUAUCUAUGAGUGACUUGAACUUGGUAGGCCAUCAGAGUCACUGAAUUAUUAAAUUCCUAGUGUUUAAUAUUAUUAUUAUAGAUACCAUCCUAGCCAAUUUUUUUUUAUGUAUGAGAAAGGAUUUGCUAUUCCCAUGGGAUGAACUGUGUUUUCUAAAAAUCUAUGCGUUAAAGUCCUAACCCCCAAUAAUUCAGAAUUAUUUUUGUGGGGGGAAAUUAAACCCACAUAUAUAGUAGCCUGAGUUGCCCCAGAAAGAAUUUCUUCUCACUAUCAUCAGAUGGGAAAUUGUGAAUAAAAUAAAGCAAUACUAUAUUCAAUACAUAUCUCAGCUCAAAAUCAAGAGAGUGAAAUCCCUACCUGGUAGAAAUUAAGAAGCAGCUUGGAGCUAGAGGGCUGGGCAAGAGCCACACCUAAAAGAUCUCCUUGAACUGUAGGAAGAGGGGCAUGUUGAAUCAAUUAGGGGUUGGGAUCUGAGGCCCCUGUGGGAAAGGGAGUCUAGAGCAGAAGCCCCCAGUGGAUGCAGCAAAUCAGAAUUAAGGGGCUAUCCCCAACUGUCAGUUUGCUUAGAGAUGACCUGGCCUCCAAACAGGAGCCAGAACUCUGUCCUAAGGAUGAGGGAAUGGUAGCAAUGACACUGAAGCCUUCCUCUAGCUGCAGAGACAACAGGAGUGUUCACAGGAAUUGGAGCCCCAUGCAGGGGCCAGUGAUGAGUAUAAAGCCCAAGUUCACAAUUCUUUCCAGGUGCAGAGGCCCACAGGCAGGAAAUAAUCAGUAAAACUGGCCCAGGAACCAGCAAAGAUAAAUGCUCCACCAACUCCAGAGACACUGCACAGCCUGCAGUACACAAGGAAACACCAGUCAGAACCCUGCUGAGGGUAAACCCCCACUCCGUGACUCUUGACCCCAGCCCCAAUGAGAGAAGUUGCCCAGAGGGAGGGAUAGAAGAAGAGAAAAUAAAGUUGGCAUCCACUGAGGCUCCAAACUAAAAAAACAAAAUAACAACAACAAAAUAUAAACAAAAAUUUAAAAUAAAUAGGCUUGAAAGGGCCAAAGCCAUAAAAGAUUAGAAACCAUAAGAAGAAAAUGGGGCCUUCUGAGAAAAUAUCUGAUCUUAGAGAUUUUAGUACUAAACUUGGUUAAUUCAGUAAAAAUAUCAUUGGGUAGCUUGAAUAGGCAACUAAGGUGACUUGAAGAACAGUGAUUUAGAAAAUUUGAUAAAGGUACACAAAAGACAGCCCAGGAGGUUCAUAAGAUACAAGACAAGUUAAGAGGUAUAGAGGCUAAAAUGAGAAAUUUAAAAAUAUAAACAUGCCAGGGGAAAAUUAAGGGGAAGAAAUAGUUAAACAUGAAAUGGCUAAAAGAAAAUUUACAACAAAAAAAUAGCCUGUGUUUGUGGUGUGGGACCACAAAAAGCCCUGAAGCCAUGCAACAUGGACUGGCUGUAUGUACACUUCAAUUUUAUGUACGUGAUAGAUAAAUUUGUCUCAGGCCUUGGGCUAGUUAACCACUCGUUUAGCUAGUUAAAACGAGAAAAAGGACGAUACGAUGUUUCAGGAAACAAUUUCAUUAAGUGGCAACAAUAAAAGCAGUCCUUGUGAAAUGUAUGAAAUUCUGAACAAUGUUGGCAAAAGUGGCUCUUUUGCAAAUCACACUACCAGAUGGGAUCUCCAGAAUAAAGGGACUUAGGAAAAAACAUUCAUUUAAAUCACUCUAUUUAUCCCUCAGAUUGAAGGUCAAAGUCAACCUUGUGUCAACUAUUAUUGAGGAAUCUGACUCAAGUUUUCAGAAGAUUAAGUGGCCUUGUUUUAGUACCAGUUAUUCUUAGAUAAAUGUACUUUCUUUCGUAUUACCUACACUUUCAAACAAAGAUAUGAAUAGUACCUUAUAUUUUUGUAAAGUAAAAUUGACUUCCAGAGAAACUAUUUUGGGAACAACUAUUCUGAAAAAGGUAUAAUAGAAAAUUUUGACAGUUUUUUGACAAAGGACAGAGAAAAGUGAAAAAAAAAAAGUUAGUACUAUAUUUGAAAUACCACUUAACAGAAAAUAUUUUCACAAUAGGAAAGGCCAUUAAUGCUUCUAGGACUGCUGCAGUUUUUUUUUUUUUUAAUUCUAGUAAAGACUUUGAGCCCAGAAGCAAUUCCGAAAGAAUUCUUUUGGAUUUUUUAUCAAAUGUUUCCCCACUCCCCCUUAGAUGAUAGUAUUCAAACUUCUAAGAACAUACCCUGACCAAUAAAGCUCUGGUUCCAUGAUAGUAAUUAUCACUGACAACAAGGCAAGGAUGCUACAAGUAACAGUACCUGGUUUAUUAAAUGCCUACCAUGGGAAAGCACUGGACUUGAUGCUUAACAUGUUCAUCUUAUUUGAGUAAUUUUUCAGCUCGAGUCAGUGAUUUAAAAUUUGUGACUUAGUGACUGUGUUGCAGAGGACAUUUCCUCAUGCGAAAUCCCAUGAGAUGCAUGGGAAGAUCCCUGAAGAGGAAAUUACUAACCCAUGGCAAGUCAUUUCAUGAGGCUGACCAUUGCUGGAGUUGGGAUCAUAAACCACUGAGUCUUCUUUUCUUCAUUUCUUUGGGUUUGACUGUGCAUCCAUUAGCCCUUGACCUCAACUCAGGAUUUUCAGCACAAAAUCAUUAUUCUACAGUGGGUGACAGUGUCAUUAGGUGGCACUACACUUAAGUAUAGGUUAUGUCAUUUUAUACUGGUCAUUGCCCACCACUUUGCCCCCCAAUAUUUAAAAGUCUUCAAACAAAGAGUACAAGUGGAACUUAUCUAAUAAUCUCUAACUAGAAACACAAAGGGAAGACACCUAAAGCAAAGGCAACAAAAGAGACAAGUCAAGUGGGGCUACCUCCACCUAAGAAGCUUCCCCAGACUUUGGAAACAAACUUAUGGUUACCAAGGGGACAGGUGGAGGGAGGAUGGACUGGGGGUUGGGACUGGCAUAUGCACACUGAGGUAUAUGGAAUGAUUGGCUAACAGGGACCUGCUGUAUCGAACAGGGAACUCUACCCAGUAUUCUGUGAUAACCUAAUGUGGGAAAAGAAUCUGAAAAAGAGUGGAUGUGCAUACAUGUAUAACGGAAUCACUUUGCUAUACAGCAGAAAUCAUCAUAACACUAUAAAUCAGCUAUAUUUCAAUAAAACUUUAAAAAAUGAAAAAAAAAUCUUUAAAAAUUAAAAAAAAAAAUGAGAGGUAACCUACUGAAUGAGAGAAAAGUUUCACAAAUUAUAUAUUUGAUAAGGGCUUACUACCUUAAACAUAUUAAGAAUUGUAAAACUUUGAGUUCUUGUGGCUCAGAGGUUAAUGAGCCCAAGCAGUACCCAUGAGGGUGCGGGUUCAAUCCCUGGCCUCACUCAGCAGGUUAAGAUUCAGCAUCGCUGUGAGCUGAGGUGUAGGUUGCCGACACGGCUCAGAUCCCGUGUUCCUGUGGCUGUGGCAUAGGCCAGCAACUUAUAGCUCCAAUUUUACCCCGAGCCUAGGAAACUCCAUAUGCUGCAAGUGCA